UAAAAAAAUUUUUUUUUUUUUUUUUUUUUGAAUUUUUUAUGGAUGUUGACAGAAAAUUAAAAAUCAUUUUCCAUUUAAAGUGCUGGUGAAAGCGGC